rnacentral:rRNA from 1 species
GUAGGUGGCAAGCGUUGUCCGGGAAUUAUUGGGGCGUAAAGCGCGCGCAGGCGGUUCUUUAAGUCUGAUGUGGAAGCCCACGGGCUCAACCGUGGAGGGUCAUUGGAAACUGGAGAACUUGAGUACAGAAGAGGAAAGCGGAAUUCCACGUGUAGCGGUGAAAUGCGUAGAGAUGUGGAGGAACACCAGUGGCGAAGGCGGCUUUCUGGUCUGUAACUGACGCUGAGGCGCGAAAGCGUGGGGAGCAAACAGGAUUAGAUACCCUGGUAGUCCACGCCGUAAACGAUGAGUGCUAAGUGUUAGGGGGUUUCCGCCCCUUAGUGCUGCAGCUAACGCAUUAAGCACUCCGCCUGGGGAGUACGGCCGCAAAGGCUGA